UACGUAGGGGGCAAGCGUUGUCCGGAUUUAUUGGGCGUAAAGAGCGCGUAGGCGGUUUGGUAGGUCCGCUGUGAAAACUCGAGGCUCAACCUCGAGACGCCGGUGGAAACCAUCAGACUAGAGUCCGGAAGAGGAGAGUGGAAUUCCUGGUGUAGCGGUGAAAUGCGCAGAUAUCAGGAGGAACACCCGUGGCUAAGGCGGCUCUCUAGUACGGUACUGACGCUGAGACGCGAAAGCGUGGGGAGCGAACAGG
rnacentral:rRNA from 1 species